rnacentral:rRNA from 1 species
CCUACGGGUGGCAGCAGUGGGGAAUAUUGCGCAAUGGGCGAAAGCCUGACGCAGCGACGCCGCGUGAGGGAUGAAGGUCUUCGGAUCGUAAACCUCUGUCAGUAGGGGAGAACGGUCACUGUGCUAAUCAGCAGUGAAUUGACGGUACCUGCAAGGGAAGCACCGUCUAACUCCGUGCCAGCAGCCGCGGUAAUACGGAGGGUGCGGGCGUUGAUCGGAAUUACUGGGCGUAAAGCGCGCGUAGGCGGCAUGUCAAGUGAAGUGUGAACUGCCCGCGCUCAACGUGGGAACUGCAUUUGAAACUGGCAAACUGGAGUGUGUGAGAGGAUGGUGGAAUUCCAGGUGUAGGAGUGAAAUCCGUAGAUA